rnacentral:rRNA from 1 species
UACGGAGGGGGCUAGCGUUGUUCGGAAUUACUGGGCGUAAAGCGUACGUAGGCGGCUUUGUAAGUUAGAGGUGAAAGCCCGGGGCUCAACCCCGGAAUUGCCUUUAAGACUGCAUCGCUUGAAUCGCGGAGAGGUGAGUGGAAUUCCGAGUGUAGAGGUGAAAUUCGAUAGAUAUUCGGAAGAACACCAGUGGCGAAGGCGGCUCACUGGACG